CUCACUAGUCGAGCGAUCCCGCGUGGAUAAUACACGGGCAUCAAACUGUCAACCGAAGCCGUGGGGUUAGUGAUGAGCUAACCGGUAGGAGAGCAUUCCUGCCAGCUUUGAAGGUCACCCGCGAGAGUGACUGGAGCGGCAUGAAAAGCAAAUGUAGGCAUAAGUAACGAUAAUGGGGGCGAGAACCCCCCACGCCGCAAGACCAAGGAUUCCCCGGCAAUGUCAAUCAGCCGGGGGUCAGCCGGCCUCUAAGGCUCACCCGAAAGGGGAUGCCGACGAGAAACGGGUUAACAUUCCCGUGCUUCUCGUCACCGUGACGCGGUGACGGGGUGAUGAAUGGACCGCGCGCUGACGGAAUAGCGCGUUGAAGGCCGUACCCGAUGAGGGUGGUAGUCAAGCACGCCACCGGAGGCGAGAGCCGAUAGUACCACGAGACCCCGGUCGAGUGGAUAGCGUCCAGGCAAUUUACCCCCUAGAAAACCCGCUAAACUUCAAGUGACGAGGAACCGUACUGUAAACGGACACACGUGGUCGGGUAGAACAUACCAAGGCGCUCGAGUGAUUCAUGGUCAAGGAACUAGGCAAAAUAGUCCUGUAACUUCGGGAAAAAGGACGCUCUAGUGAUAGAGCCGCAGAGUAAUGGCCCAGGCGACUGUUUACCAAAAACACAUGGCUAUGCCAAAUCGAAAGAUGACGUAUAUGGCCUGACACCUGCCCGGUGCCGGAAGGUUAAGAGGAGAGCUCAUCGGAAACGAGAAGGUUUGAAUUGAAGCCCCGGUAAACGGCGGCCGUAACUAUAACGGUCCUAAGGUAGCGAAAUUCCUUGUCGGGUAAGUUCCGACCUGCACGAAUGGUGUAACGAUCUGGGCACUGUCUCGACCAUGAGCUCGGUGAAAUUGUAGUUCCGGUGAAGAUGCCGGGUACCCGCGACGGGACGGAAAGACCCCGUGAACCUUUACUGCAGCUUCGCGUUGUUCCCGGGCACGGGACGUGUAGGAUAGGUCGGAGGCAUUGGAUUCGGUUUCGCCAGGAAUCGAGGAGCCAUCGUUGAAAUACGACCCUUCUCUUGUCUGGGAUCUAACCCUAGGUACAGGGGACACCGCGUGGUGGGUAGUUUGACUGGGGUGGUCGCCUCCAAAAGCGUAACGGAGGCUUCCAAAGGUACCCUCGGGUUGGUUGGUAAUCAACCGUAGAGUGCAAUGGCACAAGGGUGCUUGACCGGGAGACCAACGAGUCGAUCGGGUGCGAAAGCAGGGCAUAGUGAUCCGGUGAUCCCGCGUGGAAGGGUCAUCGCUCAAAGGAUAAAAGGUACUCCGGGGAUAACAGGCU
rnacentral:rRNA from 1 species